GGGGAAUAUUGGGCAAUGGGGGAAACCCUGACCCAGCAACGCCGCGUGAAGGAAGAAGGCUUUCGGGUUGUAAACUUCUUUUACCAGGGACGAAACAAAUGACGGUACCUGGAGAAAAAGCUCCGGCUAACUACGUGCCAGCAGCCGCGGUAAUACGUAGGGAGCAAGCGUUGUCCGGAUUUACUGGGUGUAAAGGGCGUGUAGGCGGAGAUGCAAGUCAGAUGUGAAAUCUGGGGGCUCAACCCCCAAACUGCAUUUGAAACUGUAUCCCUUGAGUAUCGGAGAGGCAGGCGGAAUUCCUAGUGUAGCGGUGAAAUGCGUAGAUAUUAGGAGGAACACCAGUGGCGAAGGCGGCCUGCUGGACGACAACUGACGCUGAGGCGCGAAAGCGUGGGGAGCAAAC
rnacentral:rRNA from 1 species